GCUGGGUGCAGUGGUGUGCACCUGUAAUCCCAGUGGCUUGGGAGGCUAAGUCAGGAGGAUUGCAAUUUCUUUUUUUUU
rnacentral:sRNA from 1 species